AGUGCUCUUGGGAGACUAAGCAGACGUUAGUUAUAAUCGACAGGAUCAGCACGCCAGUAGGCAAUGAGUUUCCUGGCCUCUACCUGAAUGCACUGCCACAGAAUUGCUUCAUUGGUGACGGAAGUACUGUCGUACUUUCCACUUGCUGGCACAGCAAAUGGGAGGUUAUCGGAGUCAACCUCAAUUUUGGCACUAUCACGAAGCUCAGCAAGGAUGAAACCGUAGGCUGCUGGCAAGUUCUGACAGUCAAAGAGAACUUCAUUGUCGCCUGCAUUUCAGCUCUCAAUUCAACACCUCAUGUGGU